ensembl:lncRNA
CUCCGGUCCCGCCAGAAGACACUGACCUCCAGCUCCCGGGACUGCCAGCAGAGCGAGGACCAGCAGAGAAAACACAGACUGAAGGUUUGAGCGGGAAGUGAGCACCACCAUGACUGAAAUGAUGAAGCCAAGGGGUGUACUACGAAGUGAGACUGGUGGGUUAUUGAGCAACGUUGAGUUUAAGCUUGAGUUAAAUAUGUUUCCUUGUGUGACGUGGCAGACUGCAGAUGGGACUCACCCGCUCCAGCUGGAUGUAGAACGUCUGGUCCCAGCUCAGCCUGCUGAUGGCUGCCCAGCGCGUCCGGCCGACCACUCUGCCGUCCAGCCUGAGCACGCCACUGAUCUCUGCGAUGGGUUUCUUUCUGCAGAGUUCCUUUCCAGUGCCAGCACUGCUGCUGCUGCUGCUCUGACAGCGCCGAUUGCCUGCUCAGGCCUCGGCAUUGGCCGUUGCAUGACCACAUGUUCCUGCUCUGCCACCAACCAAAAGGCAAGCAGAGCUGCUGGUGCUCUCUUUGGGACAAAGCAGAGAAGAGCCUGCGGUGCAUAUGGGGAUAUGUUUAACCUACUCUAACAAGAAUGAGAUGAGAGACUUAAAUAACUACACUGAUAGCAGGAGGUGGGAAAUCAGUUCCUGGAUAUAAUAAUGUAGCCUGUCUGGCUGUUUUUUACUGACAGCGUGGAUGUUAACAGUCACGCAUGACAGCUCUGUGGUUGUGGUCUCCCACUUUACUGCCUGUCAAAUUGAAAACAAUUAAUGUAGCUACACAAUGACACACUUGAACAGACAAUCCAUCACACUUGCCCUAAUUAGGCUGUUACACAUUCACCAGCUUGAAAUUGUCUCAUUAAAACGG